AGAUUGAACGCUGGCGGCAGGCCUAACACAUGCAAGUCGAGCGGCAGCACGGGUACUUGUACCUGGUGGCGAGCGGCGGACGGGUGAGUAAUGCCUAGGAAUCUGCCUGAUAGUGGGGGAUAACGUUCGGAAACGGACGCUAAUACCGCAUACGUCCUACGGGAGAAAGUGGGGGAUCUUCGGACCUCACGCUAUCAGAUGAGCCUAGGUCGGAUUAGCUAGUUGGUAGGGUAAAGGCCUACCAAGGCUACGAUCCGUAACUGGUCUGAGAGGAUGAUCAGUCACACUGGAACUGAGACACGGUCCAGACUCCUACGGGAGGCAGCAGUGGGGAAUAUUGGACAAGUGGGACAAAGGCCUGACUCCAGGCCAUCGCCGCGUGUGUAGAAGAAGGUCUUCGGUAUUGUAAAGCUACGUUUAAGUAGGGAGGAAGGCUAAUUAACCUAAUUACGUUAGUGUUUGACGUUACGAUAGAAUAGCACCG
rnacentral:rRNA from 1 species